rnacentral:misc_RNA from 1 species
GAUGAAGAACGUAGCGAAAUGCGAUAAGUAAUGUGAAUUGCAGAAUUCAGUGAAUCAUCGAGUUUUUGAACGCAUAUUGCGCCCUCUGGUAUUCCGGGGGGCAUGCCUGUUCGAGCGUCAUUAAAUAACCCUCAAGCAUAGCUUGGUGUUGGGCUUUUUUACGUCCUUGACUGGGAUGGGCCUAAAAAUUAGUGGCGAUGGCUUUUUUACUUUCAAGCGUAGUAAAUCUCGUCUUGCUAAAGAGGAAAAAGAUUUUUUUUCUGCCAAAAAUUUUAACAUUUAAAGUUGACCUCGGAUCUGGUAGGAUUACCCGCUGAACUUAAGCAUAUCAAUAAGCGGAGGA